UACGUAGGGGGCUAGCGUUGUCCGGAAUCAUUGGGCGUAAAGCGCGCGUAGGCGGCCAGAUAAGUCCGGUGUGAAAGUCACAGGCUCAACCUGUGAAUGCCGCUGGAAACUGUCUGGCUAGAGUCCGGAAGGGGCGAGUGGAAUUCCUGGUGUAGCGGUGAAAUGUGCAGAUAUCAGGAGGAACACCAAUGGCGAAGGCAGCUCGCUGGGACGGUACUGACGCUGAGACGCGAAAGCGUGGGGAGCAAACAGG
rnacentral:rRNA from 1 species